rnacentral:rRNA from 1 species
AUUGAACGCUGGCGGCAGGCUUAACACAUGCAAGUCGAGCGGAGUGAUGGUGCUUGCACUAUCACUUAGCGGCGGACGGGUGAGUAAUGCUUAGGAAUCUGCCUAUUAGUGGGGGACAACAUCUCGAAAGGGAUGCUAAUACCGCAUACGUCCUACGGGAGAAAGCAGGGGAUCACUUGUGACCUUGCGCUAAUAGAUGAGCCUAAGUCGGAUUAGCUAGUUGGUGGGGUAAAGGCCUACCAAGGCGACGAUCUGUAGCGGGUCUGAGAGGAUGAUCCGCCACACUGGGACUGAGACACGGCCCAGACUCCUACGGGAGGCAGCAGUGGGGAAUAUUGGACAAUGGGGGGAACCCUGAUCCAGCCGUGCCGCGUGUGUGAAGAAGGCCUUAUGGUUGUAAAGCACUUUAAGCGAGGAGGAGGCUUACCUAGUUAAUACCUGGGAUAAGUGGACGUUACUCGCAGAAUAAGCACCGGCUAACUCUGUGCCAGCCGCCGCUGUAACAC